AUUUAAUUUCUUUCCUUUGAUUUAAAAUGGAGGAUGUUGUGAUAAAGCAAGAUGAGCUGAAGAAAGACGAUUACAUGAUGGAAAAUCAAUUUUGGUAUGGACCAGAAAACAUUAACAGUUGGUGAUUAGCUUGCAACAUUGCUGAUGAAAAAGAUAGUGAUAGACUGGUAGUGCUGAGAUUAUUUUCUACGUGUAUCAUUUCAGUCCUUACAAAUCCCAAUUUGAGUUAGAAAGUAGUGGCGAGGUGAUGUUUGUUUUUAAUUUUGAAUUGCAGUCUGAUUACUUAUAUAGAUUUGUACACUUUGUGAUAAUGUAUAUUAAAUUUCCGACCCGCGAAGUUCGCGGGUGAUAACCUAGUUACUU
rnacentral:lncRNA from 1 species